UCGCCUGUUUUACAAAAACAUGGCUUUCUGAGUAACAUGGGGGGUCGUGCCUUCCCGGUGAGUUUUCGGGCUUAAACGGACGCGGUAAAUCGUGCUAAGGUAGCUAAAUUAUGGCCUAUUAAUUGUAGGUCCUGUGAAUGGUUUGACGAGUCUUUAACUGUCUCUAGUUUGUUUUGGUGAAAUUGAAUUGGAUGUGCAAAUGCUUCCGUAGGUAAGAAAGACGAGAAGACCCCGUGAAGUUAGAAAUUUAAGUUGUAAGAGUUAUUCCUCUAAGUUUUACUGUUUCCUAGAGUAACAGGUUGAUUUAAGGCUUCAUGUUAGUUCAAGUAGAGGGGUGCAGCGGCAGUUUUGGCUGGGGCAGCAAAGGAGCAAGACUAGACUCCUAUUAUUUAAAGUGCGGAUGCGCUACGACCCACAGAGGUAUAAAUUUGUGAUUAGCAGAAGAAGUUACUCCGGGGAUAACAGCGUUAUCCGCCCUGAUAGUUCUUAUAGAUGGGCGGGUUUGCGACCUCGAUGUUGGCUCUGGGUAUCCUAAGGCUUGCAGGCGGUCUUAAGGGUUGGUUCGUUCGCCCAUGAAAACCCGACGUGAUCUGAGUUCAAAC
rnacentral:rRNA from 1 species